AUUGAACGCUGGCGGCAGGCCUAACACAUGCAAGUCGAACGAGUGGCGGACGGGAGAGCAAUGACUGGGAAACUGCCCGAUGGAGGGGGACAACUACUGGAAACGGAAGCCAAUACCGCAUACCAUCGGAUGUGCCCAGAUGGGAUUAGCGUGUUGGUGGGGUAACGGCUCACCUCGGCGACGAUCCGUAGCUGGUCUGAGAGGAUGACCAGCCACCCUGGAACUGAGACACGGUCCAGACUCCUACGGGAGGCAGCAGUGGGGAAUAUUGCACAAUGGGCGCAAGCCGGAUGCAGCCAUGCCGCGUGUAUGAAGAAGGCCUUCGGGUUGUAAAGUACUUUCAGCGAGGAGGCGUUACUCGCAGAAGAAGCACCGGCUAACUCCGUGCCAGCAGCCGCGGUAAUUC
rnacentral:rRNA from 1 species